rnacentral:rRNA from 1 species
UUAGACCUCAAAUCAGUCAG